rnacentral:misc_RNA from 1 species
UUUCCCCAAACAGCUAAGCAAGCGUUUGUUGUAUGGAUGACCAGGUGAACUGUUAAUUCUUAUUAGCACAAAACACCAAGCAUGCAAUGCAUAUUUUGGGAUCAGAAUAUGCAUCAUAAUCCAAGAAAUCAUUCUCUUGGGUCUGCUUGUUUACAAUAAAAAUUUAGCACAGAUGUUUAAUCUCUUACCUGGAUCUUAACAUGUCUAGAAG